rnacentral:rRNA from 1 species
UGAGGAAUAUUGGACAAUGGGCGCAAGCCUGAUCCAGCCAUGCCGCGUGCAGGAAGAAGCAUCUAUGGUGUGUAAACUGCUUUUGUACGGGAAGAAACACUCCUUCGUGAAGGAGCUUGACGGUACCGUAAGAAUAAGGAUCGGCUAACUCCGUGCCAGCAGCCGCGGUAAUACGGAGGAUCCAAGCGUUAUCCGGAAUCAUUGGGUUUAAAGGGUCCGUAGGCGGUUUGGUAAGUCAGUGGUGAAAGCCCGCAGCUCAACUGUGGAACGGCCAUUGAUACUGCCAGACUUGAAUUACAAGGAAGUAACUAGAAUAUGUAGUGUAGCGGUGAAAUGCUUAGAUAUUACAUGGAAUACCAAUUGCGAAGGCAGGUUACUACUUGUGGAUUGACGCUGAUGGACGAAAGCGUGGGGAGCGAACA